rnacentral:rRNA from 1 species
CUACGGGAUGCAGCAGUGAGGAAUAUUGGGCAAUGGGCGCAAGCCUGACCCAGCAACGCCGCGUGAGGGAAGAAGGUUUUCGGAUUGUAAACCUCUGUCCUUGGGGACGAAGAAGUGACGGUACCCAAGGAGGAAGCUCCGGCUAACUACGUGCCAGCAGCCGCGGUAAUACGUAGGGAGCAAGCGUUGUCCGGAAUUACUGGGCGUAAAGGGUGCGUAGGCGGCAUAUCAAGUCAGGUGUGAAAUACUCGGGCUCAACCCGGGGGCUGCAUUUGAAACUGAUAUGCUUGAGUGUGAGAGAGGAAAGUGGAAUUCCUAGUGUAGCGGUGGAAUGCGUAGAUAUUAGGAGGAACACCAGUGGCGAAGGCGACUUUCUGGCUCAUAACUGACGCUGAGGCACGAAAGCGUGGGGAGCAAACAGGAUUAGAUACCCGUGUAGUC